rnacentral:rRNA from 1 species
CCUACGGGUGGCAGCAGUGGGGAAUAUUGCACAAUGGGGGAGACCCUGAUGCAGCGACGCCGCGUGAGGGAAGAAGUAUUUCGGUGUGGAAAGCUCUGUCAGCAGGGAAGAAAAUGACGGUACCUGACCAAGAAGCCCCGGCUAACUACGUGCCAGCAGCCGCGGUAAUACGUAGGGGGCAAGCGUUAUCCGGAUUUACUGGGUGUAAAGGGAGCGUAGACGGCAGGGCAAGUCUGGAGUGAAAGGCGGGGGCUCAACCCGCGGACUGCUAUGGAAACUGCCAGGCUGGAGUGCAGGAGAGGUAAGUGGAAUUCCUAGUGUAGCGGUGAAAUGCGUAGAUAUUAGGAGGAACCCCAGUGGCGAAGGCGGCUUACUGGACUGUAACUGACGUUGAGGCUCGAAAGUGUGGGGAGCAAACAGGAUUAGAUACCCGAGUAGUC